CUCAGUGUUACUGACUCAGCUUUCAAGCCUAAGUCUUCAGUGUUAACAGAAAAAAACAUUUCCAGCAUGAUAAUAAAAAAAGUUAGAUAUGUAUAGCUAGUUUGUAAUAAGAUGAUCAGUAUUAAUAUUAUUUGUGCUAUCUGCAUUAUAAACCAGUGGUGUUACAGUUGAAUGAAGCAAACACAUCAAUGGUAAGGCUGAUUUAUAUAAUAUGGUACCCAACAGGUUUACAGCUGUACAUGGAGGGAGAGCCAUAUGAGAUCUACUGUUGUUCUAGAAAAAGAAAAAGAAAGAACACAUCAAAGCAGUGUUAACAUAAAUAAUUUACAAGAAAAAGAGUAUUACAUGAAAAAAAGUAGAUCCUUAGGAAGCAGAUGCCAUCCUUGAACCCUUUCCAUACAUGCUUACUGUACAGAAACACCUUCACAUUUUAUGACAAUCCACCCAAAUAGAAAGAAAAUAUAUUUACAGCUAAUCAAAUCAGUGGUAUGUGAACAGAACAUGAAAAAAAAAAAAGCAAUACUGGCUUUAUCAAGAGGAGUAGCUCUACAAAUACAAGCUAUUUUCAAUACUGCAGUAAAAUGCCAAUAUCCACACAAAGACACACAGUAUGGAAUAACAAAAAUGCUAAUAGCUUCAGGGAGGUGAUUAGAAAAAAAACAUUGUAUAAUAUAAUUUUGACAAAAACGGCCACUGAUUUAAAAACAAAACAAAACAAAGCUUUGCAUUAUUUAUGAAGACUUUCCCAAAUUAAACCCAAUUGUAUAUGAACUGGGAAGCAGGAGGGAAAAUGUAUGGCAGCAACUGAUCUUUUUCCCAUUAGUUAGAGCCAGGCUAACAAGAGUCACCACGCAUAGAAUGGAAGUGUUAUGCAGAACCAUUACCGUAUUUUCUGGACUAUAAGCCGCUACUUUUUUCCUAGGUUUUGAACCAUGAGGCUUAUACAAAGGUGCGGCUAUUCUGUGGAUUUUUCUUCCACCACUAGGGGCGCUCUCACCGGAAUUGGAAUCAAAAACAAGAC
ensembl:lncRNA